UCAAUUAUUUCAAACAUAUUUUAUUUAAUAUUGAUGUCAGCUCUAGGAGGCAAAUAUGAUUACUAGCUCCAUAUUGUAGAAGGCGAAACCAACAUAUAGAGAAACAGAGUAGCUUGCUAAUCCACAGCUGUGGAUCUCUGGAUUCAGAUCUCAGAGCCACCAUGCCGAGGCAUCUUGCCCUACCUAGAGCCCCAUUCCCAGCACACUGGAGAUACCGACAUCUCUUGAGGGCAGGGCAGUCCCUUUUGCCUUCUGGAUCCAUUCUUAGGUAGGUUACCUUUGCCUCUGUGAGCUAUAAAUGACCCAUGCAACUUUCUCUCCAGCCAGGCCAUUGCAUUGUGAUCCAGGCUCAGUCUUCGUUCUGCUUCGUGGCAUCACAGUCCCUUAUUUGAAACUGAACCAGGACUGCAGUCUUCGACUUUGACAUCAAAUUUGACACCUCAGUGGCCCAGUACGUGUUGCUUUCCUUACUGAGCCUCAGCUUUCUCAUUUGUAAAGUGGGAAUAAUAGGCCAGGUGUAGUGGCACACACCUGUAAUCCUGGCACUUUGGGAGGUCGAGGCAGGCUAAUCACUUGAGCUCAGGAGCUUGAGACUGGCCUGGGUAACAUGGCAAACACCAUCUCUACAAAAAAAUACAAAAAUUAGCUGGGCAUGGUGGAGCAUGCCUGUACUCCCAGCUACUUGGGAGGCUGAGGCAGGAGAAUCACUUGAACCCGGGAGGC
rnacentral:lncRNA from 1 species